CGCAUCUGUGCAUGCAGCAUAUCAAUAAGCGGAGGAAAAGAAACUAACAAGGAUUCCCCUAGUAACGGCGAGUGAAGCGGGAAGAGCUCAAAUUUGAAAUCUUAAAGGGUUUCCCUUUACGAAUUGUAGUUUAAAGAAGUGUUUUCUGUUGAGGUUUUGGUAAAAGUUCUUUGGAAUAGGACAUCAUAGAGGGUGAGAAUCCCGUAUUUGACCUUUACUUUCAACUUUGUGAUACACUUUCAAAGAGUCGGAUUGUUUGGGAAUGCAGUCCAAAAUGGGUGGUAAAUUUCAUCUAAAGCUAAAUAUUGGCGAGAGACCGAUAGCGAACAAGUACCGUGAGGGAAAGAUGAAAAGAACUUUGAAAAGAGAGUUAAACAGUACGUGAAAUUGUCAAAAGGGAAGCGUUUGACACCAGUGUUGUUUUUCUGAAAAUCAAUUAAAGAACUGUUUAUGCUAAGCUGUUUAGACUUUAUCAGCUAACUGUUUAGUUUUGAGCUUUUCUUUAAUGCACUUUUCAGUUAACAAGUCAACAUCAAUUUCUUUUGCUGUAAAAAAGCUUGAGGAAGGUGGCUUGAGAUUCGUCUUAAGUGUUUAUAGCCUCUUGCCUAUGCAGUCGGAGAGAUUGAGGUCUGCAGCGUAGAUCCUUCGGGGCUAAAUGCAUUUGUGCUAAGUUAUAGCAUUUUAUAGACAACUUGUUGACUAUGAUUUGCCUUGUAGCUUACUCGCUUAUGUUAUUUUACCUACGCUUAGGAUGUUGAGUCAUCACACAUCUCU
rnacentral:rRNA from 1 species